UACGAAGGGUGCAAGCGUUGUUCGGAAUCACUGGGCGUAAAGGGCGUGUAGGCGGAUUGAUAAGUUAGAGGUGAAAGCCCCGGGCUCAACCUGGGAACUGCCUUUAAAACUAUCAAUCUAGAAUCCGGGAGGGGAGUGUGGAAUUCCUAGUGUAGAGGUGAAAUUCGUAGAUAUUAGGAAGAACACCGGUGGCGAAGGCGACACUCUGGACCGGUAUUGACGCUGAGGCGCGAAAGCGUGGGGAGCAAACAGG
rnacentral:rRNA from 1 species